ACGGGUGAGUAACGCGUGGGAACGUGCCUUCCGGUUCGGAAUAACCCUGGGAAACUAGGGCUAAUACCGGAUACGCCCUUAUGGGGAAAGGUUUACUGCCGGAAGAUCGGCCCGCGUCUGAUUAGCUAGUUGGUGGGGUAACGGCCUACCAAGGCGACGAUCAGUAGCUGGUCUGAGAGGAUGAUCUGCCACACUGGGACUGAGACACGGCCCAAACUCCUACGGGAGGCAGCAGUGGGGAAUAUUGGACAAUGGGCGCAAGCCUGAUCCAGCCAUGCCGCGUGAGUGAUGAAGGCCUUAGGGUUGUAAAGCUCUUUUAUCCGGGACGAUAAUGACGGUACCGGAGGAAUAAGCCCCGGCUAACUUCGUGCCAGCAGCCGCGGUAAUACGAAGGGGGCUAGCGUUGCUCGGAAUCACUGGGCGUAAAGGGCGCGUAGGCGGCGUUUUAAGUCGGGGGUGAAAGCCUGUGGCUCAACCACAGAAUGGCCUUCGAUACUGGGACGCUUGAGUAUGGUAGAGGUUGGUGGAACUGCGAGUGUAGAGGUGAAAUUCGUAGA
rnacentral:rRNA from 1 species